AGGACGAACGCUGGCGGCGUGCUUAACACAUGCAAGUCGAGCGGAAAGGCCCUUCGGGGUACUCGAGCGGCGAACGGGUGAGUAACACGUGAGUAACCUGCCCCUAGCUCUGGGAUAGCUCCGGGAAACCGGGAUUAAUACCAGAUACGACCACUUUAGACAUCUGUCGUGGUGGAAAGGAUUCCGGCUAGGGAUGGGCUCGCGGCCUAUCAGCUUGUUGGUGGGGUAACGGCCUACCAAGGCGACGACGGGUAGCCGGCCUGAGAGGGCGACCGGCCGACACUGGGACUGAGACACGGCCCAGACUCCUACGGGAGGCAGCAGUGGGAUAUUGCGCAAUGGGCGAAAGCCUGACGCAGCGACGCCGCGUGGGGGAUGAAGGCCUUCGGGUUGUAAACCCCUUUCAGCAGGGACGAAGCGAAAGUGACGGUACCUGCAGAAGAAGCGCCGGCUAACUACGUGCCAGCAGCCGC
rnacentral:rRNA from 1 species